UUCGGAUCGUAAAACCCUGUUGUUAGAGAAGAAAGUGGUGAGAGUAACUGUCGUCGCGGUAUCUAACGAACCACGGCUAACUACGUGCAGCACGCGGUAAUACGAGGUGGCAACGUUACGGAUUUAUUGGGGUAAAGGGAACAGGCGGUCUUUUAAGUCUGAUGUGAAAGCUUCGGCUUAACCGGAGUAGUGCAUUGGAAACUGGGAGACUUGAGUGCAGAAGAGGAGAGUGGAACUCCAUGUGUAGCGGUGAAUGCGUAGAUAUAUGGAAGAACACCAGUGGCGAAAGCGGCUCUCUGGUCUGUAACUGACGCUGAGGUUCGAAAGCGUGGGUAGCAAACAGGAUUAGAUACCCUGGUAGUCCACGCCGUAAACGAUGAAUGCUAAGUGUUGGAGGGUUUCCGCCCUUCAGUGCUGCAGCUAACGCAAUAAGCAUCCGCCU
rnacentral:rRNA from 1 species